AGUAAGGUGGGCGCCGAUGGUUUCGGUUCGCAUUACGCGACCGAAUGAAAAGGGAACAGGGUGCGGCGCGUGUCGCCAAUGCCCUGGCUGCCCCCGCAACUGUAAACGGUUUGCAACGCCCAUUUGCCACUGGCCUGAACCGCUGGGAAGGCGGGCGCUGCGUGAUGUCGUGAGCCAGGAGACCUGCCAUCGCGUUCGGGCCUUA
rnacentral:ncRNA from 2 species